AGGGCGGGACACGUGGUAUCCUGUCUGAAUAUGGGGGGACCAUCCUCCAAGGCUAAAUACUCCUGACUGACCGAUAGUGAACCAGUACCGUGAGGGAAAGGCGAAAAGAACCCCGGCGAGGGGAGUGAAAAAGAACCUGAAACCGUGUACGUACAAGCAGUGGGAGCACGCUUAGGCGUGUGACUGCGUACCUUUUGUAUAAUGGGUCAGCGACUUAUAUUCUGUAGCAAGGUUAACCGAAUAGGGGAGCCGAAGGGAAACCGAGUCUUAACUGGGCGUUAAGUUGCAGGGUAUAGACCCGAAACCCGGUGAUCUAGCCAUGGGCAGGUUGAAGGUUGGGUAACACUAACUGGAGGACCGAACCGACUAAUGUUGAAAAAUUAGCGGAUGACUUGUGGCUGGGGGUGAAAGGCCAAUCAAACCGGGAGAUAGCUGGUUCUCCCCGAAAGCUAUUUAGGUAGCGCCUCGUGAAUUCAUCUCCGGGGGUAGAGCACUGUUUCGGCAAGGGGGUCAUCCCGACUUACCAACCCGAUGCAAACUGCGAAUACCGGAGAAUGUUAUCACGGGAGACACACGGCGGGUGCUAACGUCCGUCGUGAAGAGGGAAACAACCCAGACCGCCAGCUAAGGUCCCAAAGUCAUGGUUAAGUGGGAAACGAUGUGGGAAGGCCCAGACAGCCAGGAUGUUGGCUUAGAAGCAGCCAUCAUUUAAAGAAAGCGUAAUAGCUCACUGGUCGAGUCGGCCUGCGCGGAAGAUGUAACGGGGCUAAACCAUGCAC
rnacentral:rRNA from 1 species